rnacentral:lncRNA from 1 species
GGUGUCAUAUUUAUGAUAUUGGACAGUUGAAUAGUCUUGAUAUGGAGGAUCAAAAUCUUCAUUUUUUUAUUUUGUAUCGAGAUAUUCAUAUUUCUCAUAUUUUCAGCUCAAGUUGUCUCAGAGCCAUAUUAUUAUAUUCUGCAUGCUAUAUUUUAGCCAAUAGAUAGUGAAAAAGUCAUGGUACGGAGGAUCAAAACUAACAGUUUUUCAUUUUACUCCCGAGUAUCAUAAUUUUCUAAAGGAG